UAAACUGAAGAGUUUGAUCAUGGCUCAGAUUGAACGCUGGCGGCAGGCUUAACACAUGCAAGUCGAGCGGAGCGAGGGUGCUUGCACCUUAGCUUAGCGGCGGACGGGUGAGUAAUGCUUAGGAAUCUGCCUAUUAGUGGGGGACAACAUUCCGAAAGGAAUGCUAAUACCGCAUACGCCCUACGGGGGAAAGCAGGGGAUCUUCGGACCUUGCGCUAAUA
rnacentral:rRNA from 1 species